UACAGAGGGGGCAAGCGUUAUUCGGAAUUAUUGGGCGUAAAGGGCGCGUAGGCGGCUUUGCAAGUGACGGGUGAAAUCCCUCGGCUUAACCGAGGAACUGCCUGUCAGACUGUGAGGCUUGAGACCGGGAGAGGGUCGCGGAAUUCCCGGUGUAGAGGUGAAAUUCGUAGAUAUCGGGAGGAACACCAGUGGCGAAGGCGGCGGCCUGGACCGAUACUGACGCUGAGGUGCGAAAGCGUGGGGAGCAAACAGG
rnacentral:rRNA from 1 species